GCAACUUUGCCUCAAUGCAUCUACCGCUGAGUGGUGAACAAAAUACAGUGUCCUCUUAAUGGAAGCAUCAUGGGUGCAGCUUCAUCUACACAGUCUUUGAUACACCCAUGGGACAGGAGACAGUUUACUGUGGUGAGCUUGGGAUUAUGUACAUGCUGAUUGACAUGUCAGUGUGCAAGUAUCGCUUGUCCCACCAGCUGCUGCUGAGCUCAAAUUUACAAACCAGUCAAAGAAAGCUACAGGAGAGACACCCACAAAU